AUACGGAGGGUGCGAGCGUUAAUCGGAAUUACUGGGCGCAAAGCGUACGUAGGCGGUUGGUUAAGUUAGAUGUGAAAGCCCCGGGCUUAACCUGGGAACUGCAUUUAAAACUGGCGAACUAGAGUUGAGUAGAGGGGAGUGGAAUUUCAGGUGUAGCGGUGAAAUGCGUAGAGAUCUGAAGGAACACCAGUGGCGAAGGCGACUCCCUGGACUCGAACUGACGCUGAGGUACGAAAGCGUGGGUAGCAAACGGGAUUAGAUACCCCGGUAGUCC
rnacentral:rRNA from 1 species